rnacentral:lncRNA from 10 species
UUCUAGAAGGAAAUAAUCAAAUGCAGAAUAUGGAACAUUCUAUAAAACUAAUAGAAGUCUCUUUAAAAAUGUCAAUGUUCGGCUGGACGCGGUGGCUCACGCCUCUUUCUCCCUUUUCGCAUGCGUGAAAUUUUCUUAAUAAAAACUGAGGUGGGGUAGGAGGGAGUGGAACUACCUACUCAUAUCUUAGCUGUGAUAUUCUGUACUGCUACAUUCCACCUAUCUCUUUGGUAUUUACUAAAUAACUGGUAGCCUUGUUGGUUGAAUUUCUUGAUUUAUUCCCAGGACCAAUUUUCAUGUAGCUUGUAUAUAUACAUUUCUCUUUUUUUAUUUUUAUGCAUCCAUUUUCACUUAAUAUACAUUUCUUAAGACAUAGCAAAAUAGUUAAAUAAGAAAUAACAAAUUAAGGUGGAUUAUGUAGGCUACCAAGGAGGUACAUUACUUUCUUCCAUUAAUCCAUUAUUUGACAUCUUGGUAACCUAGGUGGUUUCUCUAUUUUGUAGUAAUUGUAACAUGAUUUUUUUGUGCACUCAAUAGGUUUUACUUAACACUGCAGGCUCACACAGAACUAUUAGCAAUACUCAGUCUCUUGUCUCAUCCUUCAAUCCAUAAUAUGGGAGUACCAGAUAAAUACUCUCCUGGAGGGAAGGGGACUAUUUCUUAAAUGCUGGCGAAUAUGGUAGUCUAUACUAAGGCCCUAUAUGAUCAGCUAGUCAAUAAAAGUCUAUAUAAUUGUAAAGGCAAGAUAAAAACAGACCUUUUAAAACAAUAUACUAUUUAAAAGCAGCAAAAAGAAUCCUGCAGAUACACCUGUAUACUUUUAAGGUAUUUAAUGGGCAGCAAAUGUUGCCUAUCUUCAUCUCAAAGAAAAUGAGAAAAAGAUCUGUUUUCCACAACUAUCCUGACAUACUUGGUUCUUGAAAGCUCUGAAUUCCUUUGUCUUGUUCUUUCAUAGCUGUAAAGUCCAGAAAUGAAGAAUGAAGAAUUCAGAAAUGAAGAAUUUGGUAUCUAACGUUUUCAACUUACUGCCAGUACAUACCUGCCCAAAAAUCAACAUAAAAAGAACAUUUGGAACAGGAAAAAUAUUUUACAGAAAACAAACAUUUUAAGAAUACCACUUUCUUGUUCCAGGGUGAAAAAUAAACAAUGAUAAUCCUCAACAUAACUGGUAAUUAUGUUUUCAAGUUACCUCAAUUUUUGGCUCUAAAAAGGACUAAUACCAGAAAACCUAUAGGGCUGAAUACUUAAUCUGUGUAUAAAACUAUAGUUAAACAUGUAAUAAGCUUUUAUUUAUCCAGUCUUUUGCACAGCCCAUUUUGUCCCUCACAACAUCUGUUAUAGUACCUCAUAUGUAAGAAUCAUAAGGGUUUUAAGUAGUCUUAAUAACCUAAAAUUUCCAAACUCAAAAUACUUUCCUCUUGUCUGGUAGCCAAUCCUGUAUCAAGAAACACCCAAAUAUUUAGUUCUGUGCUCUUUACUAAAACAAGUAAGCAACAAGUUCUCUUCUUUAAAGGGGUUCAAUAUUCAGGAGUCCCUUUCCCAAGAAAAAUAUCUAUACUAUGAUGGAAAACUUUUCUUCAAUGACAGCUGUGUGUUGCCUAAAUUCCAUUUCUAUGCUUUCAAUUUCUUUUAACUCUGCUAACACCUAGCAAUAGGUUAGUGUCUCUUUUCUGCUCUCCUCCCCUUGGUUACAUAUAAAAAUACGUUUUUCAGUUGGGCGUGGUGGCUCACGCCUGUAAUCCCAGCACUUUGGGAGGCCAAGGCGGGUCGAUCAAGAGGUCAGGAGUUUGAGACCAGCCUGAUCAAUAUGGUGAAACCCCAUCUCUAGAAAAAUACAAAAAUUACCCAGGUGUGGUGGCGCGUGCCUGUAAUCCCAGCUACUGAGGAAGCUGAAGGAGGAGAAUCGCUUGAACCCAGGAGGCGGAGGGUGCAGUGAGCCGAGAUUGCGCCAUUACGCUCCAGCCUGGGCAAUAGAGCGAGACUCCAUCUCAAAAAAAAAAAAAAGACAAGUUUUUGUGAAUAUGGCUUAAUAUCACAAACAAGAAUACCAAAGAAUCUAUCAAAAUGUUACCAUAUUGAUAUUAUGGCAAAGGCAUUAACCAGCUCUAGGAUUUGUAAUCAACCAGCUCUAAAGUUUUUAUUUUACAGAUAAGGUCAAAACAGUGGUUUAGAGAGACGAAGUAACUUCCUCAAGGUUACAGUUAGUAAAUAUCCCAGUUAGGAUUCAAAGCAAGCUUUUUUUGCUUUAGAAUUCUUCCCCAGGUCACUGCCUCUUCCAUCAACUUCAACUAUUUAUAAAUUCUCCCAAGUUCCCCAAGGGAGUUAGAUUUGAAUGAUGUAAAGAGCAGAAACAUAGGACUGACUGAAUGAUUCUCAUUUUUUUGACUCUUAAAAUUAUUGAAGACGCCAAAGAUCUUUUGUUUAUGUGAAUUUUAUCUUUCCACAUUUACCACAAAUUUUUAAAAUGUAGUAUUUAUCAAUGUAUUUUAAGACAAGCCCAUUAUAAGUUAACAUAAAUAACAUUUCAACAAAAAAUACUUUCCCUCCAAAAAGUGAGAAAAGUAACGUUGUUUUGCAUUUUGCAAAUCUCUUUUAUGUCUAACUUGAUAAAAGAUGGUUGGAUUCUCACAGUUACUUCUGCAUUCAGUCUGUUGCUAUAUGUAGCUUUGGUUAAGUAUAUAAUGAAAAUCUAGUCGGAAAAGGGAGAAGUAUUUUAAUAACCUUUUCAGAUAACUGUGUUUGGUAAAUACUAAAACUCAACAAACGGUAGUUUCUUUCUUUUUUUUUUUUUUUUUUUUUUUUAAUAAAUAGAGACAGGGUCUCACUAUGCUGACCAGGCUCAACUCCAACUCCUGGGCUCACACAAUCCUUCCACCUUGGCCUCCCAAAGUGCUGGGAUUACAGGAGUGAGCCACCACGCUAGGCCAAAUAGUAGUUUCUUAAAGGACAGUUAACAUUUUGGAAUCUGAAACCACAUCAAUCCACUUUUUUACUGUUAAAAUCCAUUGCUAUGUCUGGAAUUUUCAAAGGAUCUUUUGCCUUUGCUUGAUUUUGCAACAUCAUGCAUUGGUCAUUUGCAAAGCCUAGAUUUACUGAGUUAUGCCCAUCUUCCAAAUAACAUAUUUCAUUAAACAACAUUUUAAAAUAUUGCAGUCCUUAACCACUGAUAUCAUAAGGAAAGUCUUUUAAGUACUAGGAAGCUGUCAAACUCCAGCUGUCAACUUUUUAAAAAUUCUAAUUUUCACCCAAAUUUUAUCACUGGUAAUAAAUACUGUCAGUUGUUUUCCUAAAAGUGACAAGCUCACUUCAUUUUCAAGAAAUAUCUGCCAAAUACUAAGUGUGAAAAACCAUAGUCUGCUAGUCGUUCUUUCAAGUAAAAAUGCUACUCCAUGAAAUAAGCCAUUCAUUCACAACCCAAUCUCACAAAUGCUUUUCCUUCAUGACAACAAUCACACCUCCCUAGGCAGCAUAAAUGCUUUAUCCAUGUUUAUUUAAUCACAAAUUCUUAAAAAUUAAAAAGACAUGUAGUCAAAAGCUAAGACUUAAUAAUAAUAGGCCGGGCACGGUGGCUCAUGCCUGUAAUCCCAGCACUUUGGGACGCCGAGGCAGGUGGAUCGCCUGAGGUCCGGAGUUCGAGACCAGCCUGGCCAACAUGGCGAAACACUGUCUCUACUAAAAAUACAACCAGGGAGGAAGAGAUUGCAGUGAGCCGAGAUAGUGCCACUGCACUCCACCCUGGGCGACAGAGCAAAACUCCGCCUCAAAAAAAUAAAAAUAGAAUAAUAAAUUUUACUGCUUCAAGGGCAUUCUCAAGUAGUUUGGUGCCCCUGACUUGCUUUGUGCUAAGGUACCGCCAGUAGUUUUACCCAGCCUUGCUUUUGAACCAUCAGUGUAUCAGUGAAAACAAUAAAUAGCAUCUUACUAUUAUUUUGAAAAUAGUUAUGACCUUGAGGCUACCCUGAAAGGGUAAGAGGAGAUCCCCAUGGGUCAUCUGUCCACACUUUGAGAACUGCUUUCCUACAUUAUACCACUAGUUCAAGAUGGGAGUGGAAACUCUAACUAAAUCAGGUUCGUCCCAAGAGUCCAUUCUGUUACCUCCUUUAGUUUGAGAUACACCACCAACACAGCUCUGGAAAAGGGAAGGAAAUCAACGGCACAAGGUGUCACUUGUUUCAACAUCUUGAACACUUUUAUGUUAGACCAGUAAUUCUCAAUGUAGUGGUUACAUUAAUCAGUCUCAGCCCCAGGACUGCUCAUUUGAAAAUGUAAAGAUGACAACCCCCCUCUGCUCCAUUCAAAUAAAUUUGGGGGAUGAGGCCCCCCAAAUUGUACGUUUAACCACCUUCAAGUUACUUUUUAUGCACCCCGAAGUUGAGAACGAUUGUGCUAACAGUUCGAAUUCAGAGUUCAAGCUCUCAGACCCUGAGCAAUAGUGUCUCAAAAUUAAUCGUUUGCCAACGAGCAGCCCUCCCUGCCCCCUCCGUUUCCCUUUCCUCUAGUUGGGUAAAUGCCUACAGAAGUAAAACCCGGCCGGGCGCGGUGGCUGACGCCUGUAAUCCCAGCACUUUGGGAGGCCAAGGCGGGCGGAUCACCUGAGGUCAGGCGUUCAAGACCAGCCUGGCCAACAUGGUGAAACCUCGUCCCUACUAAAAAUACAAAAAUUAGCCGGGCGUGGUAGCACAUGCCUGUAAUCCCAGCUACUAGGAAGGCUGAGGCAGGAGAAUCACUGGAACCCGGCAGGCGGAGGUUGCAGUGAGCAGAGAUCGUGCCACUGCACACCAGCCUGGGCGACAAGAGUGAAACUUCGUCUCAAAAAAAAAAAAAAAAGUAAAACCCCAUUUCUGUGGAGUUUUGAGCGGCGGUAAGAGGUGUCUACGGGCUUGGAAGGACGGGCUACACCGCUUGCAUCAAGACGGCGGCUGCUGUGAGAUAGUCCAACUGCAUCUUAGUUUCCAUUUCGAAAAUGAGACUGGCCACUAAAUGACUCUAAGGACUCAUCAGCACUACCUUUUUCUGAACUAAGAAUGUCUAAGACAAGUGCUACUAGCAGUUUGAGAGAAUCCCACAUCUGGAGAGGAAGGAAAUAAGAACAACACGCAGAAAGACGGAAAACAAAUAGAUCAAUGACAGUACUCCUUUGCAAAAGGUGCCAAGAAUCUAAAUAAAAUAGUCCCCGGGAUAAACAUGGCGCCCACCGCGGCAGGACAUAAUCACCAGAAAAUAAAGAUUCCCCGCCUCAUUCCAUUUUAUAAAUCACGGCGCCAUCCCAAAAGAAAUUUGGGGACCGAGGGAGGAGACUUCGUAAACUAGCUGCAGUGCACUAAGGCUUAGGAUGUACUAUUAGACCAAGCAGAGAUUACAUAACACAAGGGAUCGGCUCAGCAAUCACUCAUUUUCCUCCUCCCGCUCAAAACGAGCGCCCCACUCCUUCUCGGAGCGGGAAUGGGGCGGGGAGGGCCGCGCACCCCCACCCCCAGGGGCCGCUCCGCCGCCGCCCGCCCCUCCGCCGCACGGCCUCGCCCCCUCGCCGGCCCCUCCCGCCGCGCCCCGCCGUCUCGCCACCGCCCGCGCCCCCGCCCCCGCCCCUUCCCCAGCGGGCCACCGCCCGCGCCCGCGCCGCCCACUCCUCCGAGACGCCUCGCGCCGAGCGUGCGUGUGGACGUCGGGCUGUGUGCGGGGCCGUGGGGCGCGAGUGCGCGCGCGCGCGCCGCGGCGGGCGC